GAAGCUGGACUGCAGCUGGUUUCAGGAACUUCUCUUGACGAGAAGAGAGACCAAGGAGGCCAAGCAGGGGCUGGGCCAGAGGUGCCAACAUGGGGAAACUGAGGCUCGGCUCGGAAAGGUGAAGUAACUUGUCCAAGAUCACAAAGCUGGUGAACAUCAAGUUGGUGCUAUGGCAAGGCUGGGAACCUGCAGCCUGACUUGGGCUGCCCUGAUCAUCCUGCUGCUCCCCGGAAGGCCUUCGCAUCCCCAUCAGUAAAACGGGCCUAAGAACACCUGAGAGAGGACAGAAAGCAUUGCGGGCAAAGUGUAUGUUGAUUUGUUUGUUUAUUUAUUUAUCAAAAAAAAUUCAUCGGCCGGGCACGGUGGCUCAUGCCUGUCAUCCUAGCACUUUGGGAGGCUGAGGCGGGUGGAUCACGAGGUCAGGAGAUCGAGACCAGCCUGCCAGCAUGGUGAAAACCCAUCUCUACUAAAAAUACAAAAAAAAAUUAGCCAGGCAUGGUGGUGCGUGCCUGUAGCCCCAGCUACUCAGGAGGCUGAGGCAGGAGAAUCGCUUGAACCUGGGAGGCGGAGGUUGCAGUGAGCCGAGAUUGUGCCACAGCACUCCAGCCUGGGUGACAGAGCGAAACUCCUUCACAAAAUAAUAAUAAUAAUAAAUAUUCACCAAGGUCCUACUCUGUACUAGGCACUGGGAAUACAGUAAUAAGCAAACAGCCAAGGUCUGCUGGCCUCACAGAAUUUAUAGUCUAGCUGGAGUGAUAGAUAAGUAAAUAAUCAUAAGACUCUAUAAUUAUGAAGGAUAAUAAGAGCUUUGAGGAAGUACAGGGACCUUGGCCUCCUCCAGUUCGUUAGUGCCUGGUCUGGUUUCUUCAAGAUGCCUAAGCGUUAACCAGGUGAAACAGGGGUGGGAAAGAGAAAGAAGAGUCCCUCC
rnacentral:sRNA from 1 species